rnacentral:tRNA from 2 species
CGGGAAGUAGCGCAGCCCGGUAGCGCACAUGGCUGGGGGUCAUGUGGUCGCAGGUUCGAAUCCUGUCUUCCCGA